rnacentral:rRNA from 1 species
CCUACGGGCGGCAGCAGUGGGGAAUAUUGCACAAUGGGGGAAACCCUGAUGCAGCGACGCCGCGUGAGUGAAGAAGUAUUUCGGUAUGUAAAGCUCUAUCAGCAGGGAAGAAAAUGACGGUACCUGACUAAGAAGCCCCGGCUAACUACGUGCCAGCAGCCGCGGUAAUACGUAGGGGGCAAGCGUUAUCCGGAUUUACUGGGUGUAAAGGGAGCGUAGACGGCCAGACAAGUCAGAAGUGAAAGCCCAGGGCUCAACCCUGGGACUGCUUUUGAAAAUGCCGGGCUAGAGUGCAGGAGAGGUAAGCGGAAUUCCUAGUGUAGCGGUGAAAUGCGUAGAGAUUAGGAGGAACACCAGUGGCGAAGGCGGCUUACUGGACUGUAACUGACGUUGAGGCUCGAAAGCGUGGGGAGCAAACAGGAUUAGAUACCCCUGUAGUC